GAAAAAAAAGUAGAGUAUGGAAGGUGUCUCCUAAUAUAUAACAGUUGAAUGGAGAGGGACAGAGAGAAGAGGAGCCUUGGAACCUUGGCGCAGGUGUCAGUGAAGCACAGGUGUCAGUGAAGCACAGGUGCAAGCCAGUUUAAUGACCCUAUUAUGAUGUCAUAAUGGCCCAAUGUAAGUCAAUGGGAAAAUUUGUAUUAGUUUUUCUUUAAUAUCUUAAAAAGUAUAAAGUUUAGAAAAGUGAAAAAUACAUAGCAUAAGUGUCCUUUACAAGACCUACGCGCCAAAGUUUGAACGAAGUUUUUAAGUUAAGCGGUUCAAGCUGAAUUAAGCGCAGAAGUUCGGUAAAGAGAAUAAUAAGAAGAAGAAGAAGAAGAACUAGAAAAUGCAUUUCCUGAAGGAAAUACCAGUGCAUGAAAUGCAAAAGUUAAGAAAGGAAGAAGAAAAGAAAGAAGAGUGAAAUAAGGAAAGAAGAAAGGAAAGAAGAGUAAAAGAAGGAAAGAAGAAAGGAAAGAAGAGUGAAGAAAGGAAAGAAGAGUGGAAGAAGAAAAGAAAGAAGGAAAGAAGAAAGGAAAGUAGAGUAAAAGAAGGAAAGAAGAGUGAAGAAAGAAAAGAAGAGUAGAAGAAGGAAAGAAGAGUGGAAGAAGGAAAGAAUAAAGGAAAGAAUAGUGAAGAAAGGAAAGAAGAAAAGAAAGAAGAGUGAAAGAAGGAAAGAAGAAAGGAAAGAAGAGUGAAGAAAGGAAAGAAGAGUGGAAGAAGAAAAGAAAGAAGGAAAGAAGAAAGGAAAGUAGAGUAAAAGAAGGAAAGAAGAGUGAAGAAAGAAAAGAAGAGUAGAAGAAGGAAAGAAGAGUGGAAGAAGGAAAGAAGAAAGGAAAGGAGAGUGGAAGAAGGAAAGAAGAAGGGAAGAAGGAAAGAAGAAAAGAAAGAAGAGUGAAGAAAGGAAAGAAGAAGGAAAGAGGAAAAAAAGAAAAGUAUAAGAAGGAAAGAAGAAAGGAAAGAAGAGUGGAAGAAGUAAAGAAGAAGGAAAGAAGAAAAGAAAGAAGAGUGAAGAAAGAAAAGAAGAGUGGAAGAAGGAAAGAAGAAAAAAAAGAAAAGUGAAAGAAGGAAAGAAGAGUGAAAGAAGGAAAAAAGAGUGGAAGAAGGAAAGAAAGAAGAGUGAAAGAAGGAAAGAAGAGUGGAAGAAGGAAAGAAGAAAAGAAAGAAGAGAGAAAGAAGGAAAGAAGAGUGGAAGAAGGAAAGAAGAAAGGAAAGAAGAGUGGAAGAAGGAAAGAAGAGUGGAAGAAGAGUGAAGAAAGAAAAGAAGAGUAGAAGAAGGAAAGAAGACUGGAAGAAGGAAAGAAGAGUGAAGAAAGAAAAGAAGAGUAGAAGAAGGAAAGAAGAGUGGAAGAAGGAAAGAAGAAAGGAAAGAAGAGUGAAGAAAGGAAAGAAGAAAAGAAAGAUGAAGGAAAGAAGAGUGAAGAAAGAAAAGAAGAGUAGAAGAAGGAAAGAAGAGUGGAAGAAGGAAAGAAGAGUGAAGAAAGAAAAGAAGAGUAGAAGAAGGAAAGAAGAGUGGAAGAAGGAAAGAAGAAAGGAAAGGAGAGUGGAAGAAGGAAAGAAUAAUAUUCCUAGUUAUACAGUUGAAUGGAGAGGGACAGAGAGAAGAGGAGCCUUGGAACCUUGGCGCAGGUGUCAGUGAAGCACAGGUGCAAGCCAGUUUAAAGACCCUAUUAUGAUGUCAUAAUGGCCCAAUGUAAGUCAAUGGGAGAAAUUGUAUUAGUUUUUAUUU
ensembl:lncRNA